rnacentral:rRNA from 1 species
AACAAGGUAACCGUAGGUGAACCUGCGGUUGGAUCAUUACUGAUACUUGGUCUUUGAGUUGAUACCGAAAGGAGUCCUCAUUGCCAAAUUCACCUCUUGUGCACUAUGUUGUCUUUUGGUAGUUUAUACCUUGGUAUAGGCUGCCAAGCUUUUAAACAAACCAUAUCAACCUGUCUGAAAUUAUAUAAAAAUAUAAACAACUUUUGACAACGGAUCUCUUGGCUCUCGCAACGAUGAAGAACGCAGCGAAAUGCGAUACGUAAUGUGAAUUGCUUUCCGUGAAUCAUCGAAUCUUUGAACGCACAUUGCACUCCUCUGGAGUAUGCCUGUUUGAGAAUCUAUAGUAUUAAUUCCUAGUGAUUUCAUUCGUGAAAUGACGUAGGAGAUAUGAAGUUCCCACCCUCAGGUGUGGGUUCUUUUAAAUAGAUUACUACUAGUAAUAUGAAGAUACUUGACAUUUCUCUGUAUCUAUUAGAAAAGUAUGUGUAUGAAACCGUGGUUUCUCAUAAUGCCCACUAUUUUAGAGGAGACUUGGAGUCUUCAUAUGAACAGUUUAGUCCAUACCUAUAAAGGCGCAAGCCUUGAACCAUGGUCUCAAAUCAGGUAGGAAGACCCGCUGAACUUAAGCAUAUCAAUAAGCGGAGGAAAAGAAACUAACAAGGAUUCCCCUAGUAACGGCGAGUGAAGCGGGAAUAGCUCAAAUUUGAAAUCUCCUUCGGGCGAAUUGUAGUUUAGAGAAACGUUUUCUGUUGGACGGUAGGUACAAGUUCUUUGGAACAAGACAUCAUAGAGGGUGAAAAUCCCGUCUUUGACCUAUCGAAAGGCUUUGUGAUACGUUUUCCAAGAGUCGGUUUGUUUGGGAAUGCAGACCAAAAUGGGUGGUAAAUACCAUCUAAAGCUAAAUAUUGGCGAGAGACCGAUAGCGAACAAGUACCGUGAGGGAAAGAUGAAAAGAACUUUGAAAAGAGAGUUAAACAGUACGUGAAAUUGUCAAAAGGGAAACGUUUGAAACCAGUAUUGCUUGUAAGAAUUCAGCUUCUAUUUAUAGGGGUGUAUUUUCUUACGGCGAGUCAACAUCAGUUUGGCUUGGAGCAAAAAGCUAUGGAAAUGUAGCCUUCGGGUGUUAUAGUCCAUGGUCAUACUCUAGGCUAGACUGAGGACUGCAGCGUUUUUGGCUUCGGCACACCAACGCUUAGGAUGUUGACGAAAUGGUUUUAAGCGACC